UACGGGGGGGGCAAGCGUUGUUCGGAAUUACUGGGCGUAAAGGGCUCGUAGGUGGCCAACUAAGUCAGACGUGAAAUCCCUCGGCUUAACCGGGGAACUGCGUCUGAUACUGGAUGGCUUGAGUUCGGGAGAGGGAUGCGGAAUUCCAGGUGUAGCGGUGAAAUGCGUAGAUAUCUGGAGGAACACCGGUGGCGAAGGCGGCAUCCUGGACCGGACACUGACGCUGAGGAGCGAAAGCCAGGGGAGCAAACGGGG
rnacentral:rRNA from 1 species